GAAUCUCGUAUAAGUGAUUUCCUUAUGUGGCAGUUAAAAUAUACUGUAUUGUAUUUUGCCAAAAUAUUUUGGCCAGAGAUAACUCUUUGGCAUUUUCUGGCUGGUAUAUUUUCCUAUCAACGAGCUAGUGUACACUUGGAACCUUUUAAACGAAAACAAAGCACUAAAUAUGCAAUAACUAAGAUGAAUACUUUGAGCAUGAAUCGUGUUCAAUUGUUUUUAAAACAGUUAGAUAUUUAUAGGGCAGAACUCUUAUCAAAGUUACGAAACAAAACGUUUUAAUGCGUUUAGAUGUAAAUGAGUGAUGCCCGUUAUUGUACCAAAGCUUUCUUUCUGUAGUAAAUAAACUGCUAUUAUAUAAGUA